UACGUAGGGACCAAGCGUUGUUCGGAUUUACUGGGCGUAAAGGGCGCGUAGGCGGCUUGCACCGUCAGAUGUGAAAUUCCUGGGCUUAACCUGGGGGCUGCAUUUGAUACGUGUGGGCUUGAGUGCGGAAGAGGGUCGUGGAAUUCCCAGUGUAGAGGUGAAAUUCGUAGAUAUCGGGAGGAACACCAGUGGCGAAGGCGGCGACCUGGACGGACACUGACGCUGAGACGCGAAAGCGUGGGGAGCAAACAGG
rnacentral:rRNA from 1 species